AUGUCGCCGCUAUUGGCCUUAUCCGCACCCGGUGUCCCACGUUAAACCUUAGCACACGUUUUUUUUAUCAUCAUCUAACGGCUGGGGUUUGUCGAGGUUAAUAGCGGCGAAACAAAGUAUCAAUAGCGGCGACAGGUUGUCGCCCCUAUUGGUCCGCCGAAUAAACAACCAAAACAGCGCCAUUUCUUCCCUCCUUCCACUUUCCCCAAAACCUUUCAUCUCUCCUCUCACGGGUUCUUCUCCAAAACGGCAUAAUCUCUUCAUUUUUACCAAUUUCUAUUUCAAAUCGGUUAGUAUUGUUAGUUUUAUGUUGAAUUUCUUAGAAUUUCUCCACUGGCACCACCUCGUCUCCACGGCCACCACCUCAUCUCCUCCGUCACCACCUCUUCUCCUCCUUCAAAAUAAGGGAUAAAUGAGCUUAAAUGAACAAAAGAAGCAAAAAUGCAG
rnacentral:lncRNA from 1 species